CCCUUAGAUGUCCGGGGCCGCACGCGCGCUACACUGAAGGAAUCAGCGUGGCUUUCUCCCUGACCCGAAAGGGUUGGGAAACCCGUUGAAUCUCCUUCGUGAUAGGGAUUGGGGCUUGAAAUUGCUCUCCAUGAACGAGGAAUUCCCAGUAAGCGCGAGUCAUAAGCUCGCGUUGAUUACGUCCCUGCCCUUUGUACACACCGCCCGUCGCUACUACCGAUUGAACGGUUUAGUGAGGGCCUCGGAUUGGUCUCGGCCCGCUCUUUACCGGGCGGCGCCGUUGGUCGAGAAGACGCUCGAACUUGAUCGUUUAGAGGAAGUAAAAGUCGUAACA
rnacentral:rRNA from 1 species